GCUAUAAUGCAGUCGAGCGGACAGAUGGGAGCUUGCUCCCUGAUGUUAGCGGCGGACGGGUGAGUAACACGUGGGUAACCUGCCUGUAAGACUGGGAUAACUCCGGGAAACCGGGGCUAAUACCGGAUGGUUGUUUGAACCGCAUGGUUCAAACAUAAAAGGUGGCUUCGGCUACCACUUACAGAUGGACCCGCGGCGCAUUAGCUAGUUGGUGAGGUAAUGGCUCACCAAGGCAACGAUGCGUAGCCGACCUGAGAGGGUGAUCGGCCACACUGGGACUGAGACACGGCCCAGACUCCUACGGGAGGCAGCAGUAGGGAAUCUUCCGCAAUGGACGAAAGUCUGACGGAGCAACGCCGCGUGAGUGAUGAAGGUUUUCGGAUCGUAAAGCUCUGUUGUUAGGGAAGAACAAGUACCGUUCGAAUAGGGCGGUACCUUGACGGUACCUAACCAGAAAGCCACGGCUAACUACGUGCCAGCAGCCGCGGUAAUACGUAGGUGGCAAGCGUUGUCCGGAAUUAUUGGGCGUAAAGGGCUCGCAGGCGGUUUCUUAAGUCUGAUGUGAAAGCCCCCGGCUCAACCGGGGAGGGUCAUUGGAAACUGGGGAACUUGAGUGCAGAAGAGGAGAGUGGAAUUCCACGUGUAGCGGUGAAAUGCGUAGAGAUGUGGAGGAACACCAGUGGCGAAGGCGACUCUCUGGUCUGUAACUGACGCUGAGGAGCGAAAGCGUGGGGAGCGAACAGGAUUAGAUACCCUGGUAGUCCACGCCGUAAACGAUGAGUGCUAAGUGUUAGGGGGUUUCCGCCCCUUAGUGCUGCAGCUAACGCAUUAAGCACUCCGCCUGGGGAGUACGGUCGCAAGACUGAAACUCAAAGGAAUUGACGGGGGCCCGCACAAGCGGUGGAGCAUGUGGGUUUAAUUCGAAGCAACGCGAAGAACCUUACCAGGUCUUGACAUCCUCUGACAUCCUAGAGAUAGGACGUCCCCCUUUCGGGGGCAGAGUGACAGNGNNNCAUGNNNGUCGUCAGCUCNUGUCGUGAGAUGGUU
rnacentral:rRNA from 1 species